AGAAUUAUAUGCUUGUCCCGAAGCUUAAGCCAUGCAUGUGCCAGAAUAUAGUAGCUUGAUCUAGAAUCUGCGAACGGCUCCGUAUAUCUGUUAUAACCCUCCGUCGCCAAUUGUAAUCGGCAUAACCUCGGUAAUUCUGUGGCUAAUACGUGUAUCAACGGCCCCCCGCCGCAAGGCCGUGGGGGCCGUGGAGUUGCCGACCGACCGACGGCGGGGGCUUCGCCCCCGCUCGAGGGAGGACUGGCAAUCGACCUUACCGAGGGGGUAUUCCACGGUGCGUACGACGGGCACCAGACCUAUCAACUAGACGCCCAAGGAUAGCCUGGGCGUGGUUAUAACGGGUACAGAGGAUCAGGGUUCGGUCCUGGAGAGGUAGCCUGAGAGAUCGCUACUACUUCUAAGGAAGGCAGCAGGCGCGCAACGUUCCCAAUGGGGGCACCCUGAGGACGUGAAGGGACAUAUCAAUGCCCGGCCCUUAAAGCCGGGCAAUUGAAAUGGGGGACCUCUA
rnacentral:rRNA from 1 species